CGCCUGUUUACCAAAAACAUAGCCAUUAGUUGAUAUUAUUGGUUAAACCUGCCCAAUGUUGAACAAUGAAUGGCCGCGGUACCCUGACCGUGCUAAGGUAGCGUAAUCAGUUGGCUUUUAAAUGGAGUCAGGUAUGAAUGGUAAAACUGGGUUGAGCUGUCUCCUCUCUAAUUGGUUGAAUUUACUGUGUAGGUGAAAAAGCCUAUAAUACAAAAAAGGACGAGAAGACCCUUAGAAUUUUUUUUAAAGGGGGUUGUUCUCUUUAUGAUUUUGUUGGGGCGACAGAGAAGUAGUUAAAACCUUCUUUAAAUUUAUAAGCCGAAAUUUUUAAGUUAAGAUAAAUUACCUGAGGGAUAACAGCAUUAUUUUAUAGUUAAGUUUGUGACCUCGAUGUUGGACUAGGAAACUAGCAGGCUAGCCGUUUGCUGUGUGGGUUCUGUUCGAACUCUAAUUUCU
rnacentral:rRNA from 1 species